UUUUCCAAAAACAUAUUUUAUAGAUUUUAUUAUAAAUACAACCUGCUCAAUGAAAUUUUAAAUAGCCGCAGUUUAUACUGUGCUAAGGUAGCAUAAUCAUUUGUCUUUUAAUUAAAGACUAGAAUGAAAGGUUUUACAUUUAAAUUAUUAUUUUAAUUAUUUCCUUUAAAUUUAUUUCAAAUGUAAAAAAACAUUUAUUUUUAAGAAAGACGACAAGACCCUAUCGAACUUUACUUUAGUUUAACUGGGGCAGUUAAUUAAUUAAAAUUUAAUACAUUAAUAUAUUAAUGAUCUGAUAUAAUCAAUUAUAUGAUCAAGUUACCGUAGGGAUAACAGCGUAAUUAUUAUUAAUAGAUCUUAUAUAAAUAAUAGAUUGCGACCUCGAUGUUGAAUUAAUUUUUCUAUUAGAUGCAACAAUUUAAUAAGAAAGUCUGUUCGACUUUUAAUAAAUUACAUGAUCUGAG
rnacentral:rRNA from 1 species